rnacentral:lncRNA from 1 species
UGGGAUUCAGCAGCAAAUUUCUGAAACUACUCUGGAAGCAAGUUUCUGUACAACAUCAGAAAGCAGGGGGUGGAACAGUAGGUCAUUUUAGUAUUCCCAGGGUUGAAUCAUGUCUGAGCUAUGAAUUAUGCAAUAUAUGAAUCUUAAAACCAAAAUUUUCUUACUAUAAAUAUAUUCAUAUGAAUUAUUCCAGAUGCAUAGAUCAGUUAAGGAUGAAAUUUUGUUCCUUAUUUGAGCAGGUGAAAGAUAGCUAUCCUUUUAUGAGUUAAUUUUAUCAAUAAUUUAAUAGUUCUUCAUUUAUACCAUAUGAAGGAUUACACAAUGAAUCUUAAGGAUUUCACAACCAAAAACAUUUU